UUUAUACAUCAUUAAAGAGAUAUUUUCCUGAUUUAAAUCCAGCUCUGUGUCAUGACAUUGUGGGCAGUGUGUUAAGGAUGAACAGUGUUUGG